rnacentral:rRNA from 1 species
GAUGAACGCUGACAGAAUGCUUAACACAUGCAAGUCUUUGGCGAAGCUGUGCUUGCACAGCCUAGCCAAGGCGGACGGGUGAGUAACGCGUAAGGGACUUGCCCUGCAGUCAGGGAUAACAGACGGAAACGACUGAUAAGACCUGGUAAAGCCAGGCGGACUCAUGUCCAGCCUGAUGAAAAGGAAUGCUGCAGGAGAGCCUUGCGUCCUAUUAGCUUGUUGGUGGGGUAACGGCCCACCAAGGCGAUGAUAGGUAGCCGGCCUGAGAGGGUGGACGGCCACAAGGGGACUGAGAUACGGCCCUUACUCCUACGGGAGGCAGCAGUGGGGAAUAUUGGACAAUGGGGGCAACCCUGAUCCAGCAAUUCUGUGUGCACGAUGAAGGUCUUCGGAUUGUAAAGUGCUUUCAGCAGGGAAGAAAAA